UACGUAGGGUGCGAGCGUUAUUCGGAAUUACUGGGCGUAAAGCGCACGUAGGCGGCUUUUUAAGUCAGGGGUGAAAUCCUGGAGCUCAACUCCAGAACUGCCUUUGAUACUGAGAAGCUUGAGUCCGGGAGAGGUAAGUGGAAUUCCGAGUGUAGAGGUGAAAUUCGUAGAUAUUCGCAAGAACACCAGUGGCGAAGGCGGCUCACUGGCCCGAUACUGACGCUGAGGCACGAAAGCGUGGGGAGCAAACAGG
rnacentral:rRNA from 1 species